GACGAACGCUGGCGGCGUGCUUAACACAUGCAAGUCGAACGGAAAGGCCCUGCUUGCCGGGUACUCGAGUGGCGAACGGGUGAGUAACACGUGGGUGAUCUGCCCUGCACUUCGGGAUAAGCCUGGGAAACUGGGUCUAAUACCGGAUAGGAGCCAUUUUUAGUGUGAUGGUUGGAAAGUUUUUUCGGUGUAGGAUGAGCUCGCGGCCUAUCAGCUUGUUGGUGGGGUAAUGGCCUACCAAGGCGGCGACGGGUAGCCGGCCUGAGAGGGGGGACGGCCACAUUGGGACUGAGAUACGGCCCAGACUCCUACGGGAGGCAGCAGUGGGGAAUAUUGCACAAUGGGCGCAAGCCUGAUGCAGCGACGCCGCGGGGGGGAGGACGGCCUUCGGGUUGUAAACUCCUUUCGCUAGGGACGAAGCUUUGUGUGACGGUACCUAGAUAAGAAGCACCGGCUAACUACGUG
rnacentral:rRNA from 1 species